rnacentral:rRNA from 1 species
AUUGAACGCUGGCGGCAGGCCUAACACAUGCAAGUCGAGCGGAUGAAGGGAGCUUGCUCCUGGAUUCAGCGGCGGACGGGUGAGUAAUGCAUAGGAAUCUGCCUGGCAGUGGGGGAUAACGUCCGGAAACGGGCGCUAAUACCGCAUACGUCCUGAUGUAGAACGUGGGGGAUCUUCGGACCUCACGCUAUCAGAUGAGCCUAGGUCGGAUUAGCUAGUUGGUGGGGUAAAGGCCUACCAAGGCGACGAUCCGUAACUGGUCUGAGAGGAUGAUCAGUCACACUGGAACUGAGACACGGUCCAGACUCCUACGGGAGGCAGCAGUAGGGAAUAUUGGACAAUGGGCGAAAGCCUGAUGCAGCCAUGCCGCGUGUGUGAAGAAGGUCUUCGGAUUGUAAAGCACUUUAAGUUGGGAGGAAGGGCAGUAAGUUUAUACCUGGCUGUUUUGACGGUACCAACAGAAUAAGCACCGGCUAACUACGUG